AACUUUCAACAACGGAUCUCUUGGUUCUGGCAUCGAUGAAGAACGCAGCGAAAUGCGAUAAGUAAUGUGAAUUGCAGAAUUCAGUGAACCAUCGAAUCUUUGAACGCACAUUGCGCCCGCCAGCACUCUGGCGGGCAUGCCUGUCCGAGCGUCAU
rnacentral:rRNA from 1 species